rnacentral:rRNA from 1 species
CACGUAGGGCGCAAGCGUUGCUCGGAAUUAUUGGGCGUAAAGAGCUCGUAGGCGGUCCGUCACGUCCGCUGUGAAAACCCAGGGCUCAACCCUGGGCUUGCAGUGGAUACGGGGCAGACUAGAGGUAGGUAGGGGAGAAUGGAAUUCCCGGUGUAGCGGUGAAAAUGCGCAGAUAUCGGGAGGAACACCGGUGGCGAAGGCGGUUCUCUGGGCCUUACCUGACGCUGAGGAGCGAAAGCGUGGGGGAGCAAACAGGG